UACGGGGGGGCAAGCGUUGUUCGGAAUUACUGGGCGUAAAGGGCUCGUAGGUGGCCAACUAAGUCAGACGUGAAAUCCCUCAGCUUAACUGGGGAACUGCGUCUGAUACUGGAUGGCUUGAGUUUGGAGAGGGAUGCGGAAUUCCAGGUGUAGCGGUGAAAUGCGUAGAUAUCUGGAGGAACACCGGUGGCGAAGGCGGCGUCCUGGACCAACACUGACACUGAGGAGCGAAAGCCAGGGAGCAAACGGG
rnacentral:rRNA from 1 species